rnacentral:lncRNA from 1 species
UUAUUUCUCCCAAAACAACAACAAAUGGUCCAAAUGAGUGAAAUGACCGAAUCGAUUCCCUGAAACCAUAAAGGCCAAACCCUUUUCCUCACUUCUCCAGUUCUUCAUUCGAUAAUUGCCAUUUGAAAAUUGAAGAAGAGGCAGUAGUUGCCUGCUGCUAUCGACGCCAUGAGGAGGAGGAGGAGGAGUCAUCGGCACAGCCAACGACUUAUUCUGCUGACUGCCAUUCUGGUCUCAGAAUCUUUGAGCUCGAGAAACUUUUGACUGGUGACUGGUGACUGGUGAGCGUAUUUCUCUCUCUCUCUCUCUUUUUGGUUUUGUUUUUGUUUUAUUUUGUUGAAUAAUGAAUGUUGUUUGUAAUUUGUAAAUUGUUUAAUUAUAUUCACAUAAACUAAUAAAAGGCAAUUUUUCUAUUAUUAUUUAUGAGUUAUGAUUUAUGUUUUGUAAGUUAUUACGGAG